GAUGAACGCUGGCGGCGUGCCUAAUACAUGCAAGUCGAGCGAACAGACGAGGAGCUUGCUCCUCUGACGUUAGCGGCGGACGGGUGAGUAACACGUGGAUAACCUACCUAUAAGACUGGGAUAACUUCGGGAAACCGGAGCUAAUACCGGAUAAUAUAUUGAACCGCAUGGUUCAAUAGUGAAAGACGGUUUUGCUGUCACUUAUAGAUGGAUCCGCGCCGCAUUAGCUAGUUGGUAAGGUAACGGCUUACCAAGGCAACGAUGCGUAGCCGACCUGAGAGGGUGAUCGGCCACACUGGAACUGAGACACGGUCCAGACUCCUACGGGAGGCAGCAGUAGGGAAUCUUCCGCAAUGGGCGAAAGCCUGACGGAGCAACGCCGCGUGAGUGAUCAAGGUCUUCGGAUCGUAAAACUCUGUUAUUAGGGAAGAACAAAUGUGUAAGUAACUAUGCACGUCUUGACGGUACCUAAUCAGAAAGCCACGGCUAACUACGUG
rnacentral:rRNA from 1 species